rnacentral:rRNA from 1 species
AGUGGAUGGGGAGCAACCUAGUUGUGCGUGUGUAAAGGUAGUGCCAAGAAAAGCGAUGAUCAUGUUGAAAAUCAAUUCCCGGUACCCGAAACCGACACAGGUGGGCAAGUAGAGAAUACUAAGGGGCGCGAGGUAACUCUCUCCAAGGAACUCGGCAAAAUGACCCCGUAACUUAGGGAGAAGGGGUGCCACCGAGAGGUGGUCGCAGUGAAGAGGCCCAGGCGACUGUUUAGCAAAAACAUAGGUCUCUGCAAACUCGAAAGAGGAGGUAUAGGGGCUGACGCCUGCCCAGUGCCGGAAGGUUAAAGAAGUUGGUCAGUCUUAGGAUGAAGCUAGCGACUGAAGCCCCGGUGAACGGCGGCCGUAACUAUAACGGUCCUAAGGUAGCGAAAUUCCUUGUCGGGUAAGUUCCGACCCGCACGAAAGGCGUAACGAUCUGGGCGCUGUCUCGGAGAGAGGCUCGGCGAAAUAGGAUUGUCUGUGAAGAUACGGACUACCUGCAUUUGGACAGAAAGACCCUAUGAAGCUUUACUAUAGCUUGGAAUUGUGUUCGGGCUUCCUGUGCGCAGGAUAGGUGGGAGGCGUAGAAGGUAUUCUUGUGGGGAUACUGGAGCCAACGGUGAGAUACCACUCUCAGGAGGCUAGAAUUCUAACUUAAUUAAGGACAGUUUCAGGUGGGUAGUUUGACUGGGGCGGUCGCCUCCAAAAAGGUAACGGAGGCGUACAAAGGUUCCCUCAGACUGGUUGGAAAUCAGUCGAAGAGUGCAAAGGCAGAAGGGAGCUUGACUGCGAGAAGUACAGUUCGAGCAGGGUGGAAACACGGUCUUAGUGAUCCGACGGUGCUGUGUGGAGGGGCCGUCGCUCAACGGAUAAAAGUUACUCUAGGAUAACAGGCUGAUCUCCCCCAAGAGUUCACAUCGACGGGGAGGUUUGGCACCUCGAUGUCGGCUCAUCGCAACCUGGGGCGGAAGUACGUCCCAAGGGUUGGGCUGUUCGCCCAUUAAAGCGGUACGUGAGCUGGGUUCAGAACGUCGUGAAACAGUUCGGUCCAUAUCCGAUGUAGGCGUGAGAAUAUUGAGAGGAGCCUUCCUUAGUACGAGAGGACCGGGAAGGACGCACCGCUGGUGUACCUGUUAUGAUGCCAAUUGUAAACGCAGGGUAGCCAAGUGCGGAGAGGAUAACCGCUGAAAGCAUCUAAGUGGGAAGCCCACCUCAAGAUGAGUAUUCUGGUGUAAGGUCACGGGAAGACGACCCGUAAAUAGGCACGAGGUGGAAGUGCAGAGAUGUAUGAAGCCGAAGUGUACUAAUAGACCGUCGGCUUGACC